GACGAACGCUGGCGGCGUGCUUAACACAUGCAAGUCGAGCGGUAAGGCCCUUUCGGGGGUACGACGAGCGGCGAACGGGUGAGUAACACGUGGGUGACCUGCCCUCAGCUCUGGGAUAAGCCUGGGAAACCGGGUCUAAUACUGGAUAUGACUCCAUGACGCAUGUUGUGGGGUGGAAAGCCUUGUGCGGCUGAGGAUGGGCCCGCGGCCUAUCAGCUUGUUGGUGGGGUGAUGGCCUACCAAGGCGACGAUGGGUAGCCGGCCUGAGAGGGCGACCGGCCACACUGGGACUGAGACACGGCCCAGACUCCUACGGGAGGCAGCAGUGGGGAAUCUUGCGCAAUGGGCGAAAGCCUGACGCAGCGACGCCGCGUGAGGGAUGACGGCCU
rnacentral:rRNA from 1 species